rnacentral:tRNA from 1 species
GCUAGUGUGGCAGAGCCUGGCCAAUGCAAAAGACCUAAGCUCUUUGAAUCAGGGGUUCAAAUCCCCUCACUAUCU